CACGAGAUGUCCUUUUCUUUUCCUCUGGCGGGGGCCCAAAGGGCCCAUCUUCACAAACUGGUUCUAAAGGAGAUCGUGGGGGAAGCUCUCCCA
ensembl:miRNA